rnacentral:rRNA from 1 species
CACACCCCACCCAAUCCUCAUCUCUCCACCUGUGCACCUCUUGUAGACUUUUUGUCUAUGUUUUUCAUAUACCCCAUAGCAUGUAACAGAAUGUAUUAUUUGGGCCCUUUGUGCCUAUAAACCUUAUACAACUUUCAGCAACGGAUCUCUUGGCUCUCGCAUCGAUGAAGAACGCAGCGAAAUGCGAUAAGUAAUGUGAAUUGCAGAAUUCAGUGAAUCAUCGAAUCUUUGAACGCACCUUGCGCUCCUUGGUAUUCCGAGGAGCAUGCCUGUUUGAGUGUCAUUAAAUUUCUCAACCAUAGGUUGGAUGUGGGGUUGCUGCUGGCUCAGGUCAGCUCCCCUUAAAUGCAUUAGCUGUGGACACUGUCGUCUAUUGGUGUGAUAAUUAUCUACGCCGUUGGAUGGAUGGAACCACUGUGUCUCACUCAAGAGACAAUACAUGACAAUUUGACCUCAAAUCAGGUAGGACUACCCGCUGAACUUAAGCAUAUCAAUAAGCGGAGGA